ACGGAGGGUGCAAACGUUGCUCGGAAUCAUUGGGCGUAAAGCGCACGUAGGCGGCCUAGCAAGUCGGGUGUGAAAUCCCUCGGCUUAACCAAGGAAGUGCACUCGAAACUGCUGGGCUUGAGUACGGGAGAGGGUUGCGGAAUUCCCGGUGUAGAGGUGAAAUUCGUAGAUAUAGGAAGGAACACCAGUGGCGAAGGCGACUUGCUGGAUCUUUGCUGACGCUGAGACGCGAAAGCGUGGGGAGCAAACAGGA
rnacentral:rRNA from 1 species